UGGGGAAUUUUGGACAAUGGGCGAAAGCCUGAUCCAGCAAUGCCGCGUGUGUGAAGAAGGCCUUCGGGUUGUAAAGCACUUUUGUCCGGAAAGAAAUCCUUGGCUCUAAUACAGUCGGGGGAUGACGGUACCGGAAGAAUAAGCACCGGCUAACUACGUGCCAGCAGCCGCGGUAAUACGUAGGGUGCAAGCGUUAAUCGGAAUUACUGGGCGUAAAGCGUGCGCAGGCGGUUUGCUAAGACCGAUGUGAAAUCCCCGGGCUCAACCUGGGAACUGCAUUGGUGACUGGCAGGCUAGAGUAUGGCAGAGGGGGGUAGAAUUCCACGUGUAGCAGUGAAAUGCGUAGGAGAUGUGGAGGAAUACCGAUGGCGAAGGCAGCCCCCUGGGCCAAAUACUGACGCUCAUGCACGAAAGCGUGGGGAGCAAACAGGAUUCAGAUACCCUGGUAGUCCACGCCCUAAACGAUGUCAACUAGUUGUUGGGGAUUCAUUUCCUUAGUAACGUAGCUAACGCGUGAAGUUGACCGCCUGGGGAGUACGGUCGCAAGAUU
rnacentral:rRNA from 1 species